GAGGAAGUCAGGUGCCAUGUUUUGCUUUUUUCUUUUUGUCCUUUUGUAGAGACAGAGUCUCACUAUGCCACCCAAGCAGGUCCAGAAUUCCUGGCUCAAGCGAUCCUCCUGCCUCUGCCUCUGCCUCUGCGAAUAUUGGGAAUACAGGUGUGAGUCACUGCCCUGUCAUAUUUUGAUUGACACUCUCCAAACCUGAGAGUGGCCUCUGGGAGCUCGGAGUGACCCCUGGCUGACAGCCAGUGAGAAUAUACAGACCUCAAUGUUACAGCCCAGCUGGAUCCUGCCAAGCACCAGUGAGCUGGAAGAGGAUCCCCAGCCUCAGAUGAGCCUGCAGCCUGUGCUGAUGCCUGGAUUUCAGCCUGAGAGACUCUGAGCAGAGGACUCCGCUCAAAGCUGUCUGGAGUCCUGAUCCGCCAGAACCAUGAGAUAACAAACAGGCACUGUUUAGGUGGCGAAAUGUGGUUACAUGGAAAUAGGAACCCAGUGCAACAUGAGAUGCCCUGACAUAUCAAGGGCAGUUCAUGAGUGGGUGCCUUCAGCUUGGGAGGAACCAGACAGGGCUGAUGCAUCACGGUGUCCACAUAUGCAGGGAGGUUGGUUUGCUAGGAAACCUCCCGAUGAGGAAAUUGUUGGGAAUGUACUACAAGGCGCUACCCAGCUCUGGAGCCAGACAAGAGGCCGGAGCAUCCGCCCCAGCACGGCUGGCUGUGUGAGCCUCAGGAAUGCUGGCAGCUCUGCAAGACUCUCUGCCAUCUGCAAAAGGUGUCUGAGCUCCGGUGAGAGCAUCCUGAAUGGGAAGCCAGUACAGGGAUGGCAGCAGGUCAACUGUGGUAAUGGUGAGGUGAGUUUCCCUCCUUCUGCAGGAGUCUCCUUGCAGGGGGAACAUGCCUGUUCAAAGAAAGCCUUUAUUUUGCUUUUUAAAAAAAUUAUAAAUGUUUUUUAAUUUUUAAUUUUUGUGGGCACAUAAUAAGUAGGUGAAUAUUUAUGGGGUACAUGAAAUAUUCUGAUACAGGCAUGCAAUGCAUAAUCAUCACAUCAUGAGAAAUGGUGUAUCUAUCCCCUCAAGCAUUUAUCCCUUGUGUUGCAAACAAUCGAAUUAUAUACUCUUACAGUUAUUUCAAAAUUAACAAUUAAAUUAUUAAUGAUUAUAGUCACCCUGUUGUGCUAUCAAAUACUAGGCAUUAUUUAUACUUUCUAUUUUUUGUACCCAUUAACCAUCCUUACCUCCCUGCCAACCCCCACUCCCCUUCCCAGACUCUGGUAAACAUCCUUCUAUUCUCUGUGUCCAUGAAUUCAGUUGUUUUGAUGUUUAGAUCCCACAAAUAAGUGAGAACAUGUGAUGUUUGUCUUUCUGUGCCUGGCUUAUUUCACUUAACAUAAUGACCCCUAUUUCCUUCCAUGCUGUUGCAAAUGACAGGAUCUCAUUUUUUGAUGGCUGAAUAGUACUCCGUUGUGUAUAUGUACUAUAUUUUUGUGAAUUCAUUCAUCUGUUGAUGAACACUUAGGUUACUUCCAAGUCUUGGCUAUUGUGAAUAGUGCUGCAAUAAGCAUGAAAGUGCAGAUAUCUCUUUGAUAUACUGAUUUUCUUUCUUUUGGGUAUAUAUCUAGGAGUGAGAUUGCUAGAUUGUAAGGUAGCUCUAUUUUUAGUUUUUUGAGGAAACUCUAAACUGUUCUCCGUAGUGGUUGUACUAAUUUACAUUCCCACCAACAGUAUACAAGGGUUCCCUUUCCUCUACUUCCUUGCCAACAUCUGUUACUGCCUCACUUUUGAAUAAAAGCCAUUUUAUCUGGGGUGAGAUGAUAUCUCAUUGUAGUUUUGCUCUGCAUUUUUCUGCUGGUCAGUGAUGUUGAGCACCUUUUCAUAUGCCUGUUUGCUAUUUGUCUUGUUUUGAGAAAUGUCUAUUAAGGUAUUUUGCCCAUUUCGAAGUCAUAUCAUUAGAUUUUGUUUUUCCUGUAGAGUUGUUUGAGCUCGUUAUAUAUUCUGGUUAUUAAUCUCUUAUCACGUGGGCAGUUUGCAAAUAUUUUCUUCUAUUCUGUGGAUUAUCUCUUCACUUUGUCAAUUGUUUCCCUUGCAGUGCAGAAGAUUUUUAACUUAACGUGAUUCCAUUUGUCCAUUUUUGCUUUGGUUGCCUGUGUUUGUGGGGUAUUUCUCAAGAAAUUUUUGCCCAAACCAAUGCCCUAGAGAGUUUCCCCAAUGUUUUCUUGUAGUAGUUUUAUAGUUUGAGGUCUUAGAUUUAAGUCUUUAAUUCAUUUUGAUUUGAUUUUUGCAUAUGGCAAAUCUAGUUUCAUUCUCCUGCAUGCGGAUAUGCAGUUUUCUUAGCACCACUUGUUGACGACACUUUCUUCUCCCUGUUGUACAUUCUUGGCAACUUUGUUGAAAAUGAGUUCACUGUCAGUGUACAGAUUUGUUUCCAGGUUCUCAAUUCUGUUCCAUUGGGCUAUGUGUCUGCUUUAAUGCCAGUACCAUGCUGUUCGGGUUACUAUAGCUCUGUAGUAUAAUUUGGAGUCAGGUACUGUGAUUACUCCAGUUUUGUUCUUUUUGCUCAGAACAGCUUGGCUAUUCUGGGUCUUUUGUGGUUUUGUAUAAAUUUUAGGAUUGUUUUUCUAUUUCUGUGAAAAAUGUCACUGGUAUUUUGAUAGGGAUUGCAUUGAGUCUGAAGAUUACUUUGGGUAGUAUGGACAUUUUUACAAUAUUGAUUCUUCCAAUCGAUGAACAUGGAAUAUCUUUCCAUUCUUUGGUGCCCUCUUCAAUUUCUUUCAUUGGUGUUUGAUAGUUUUCAUUGCAGCAAUCUUUCACUUCUCUGGUUAAGUUAAUUGCUAGGUAUUUAAUUUUCUUUGUGACUAUUGUAAAUGAGAUUACUUUUCUUAUUUCUUUUACAGAUUGUUCACUGUUGACAUAUAGAAAUUCUACUGAUUUUUGUAUGAUGAUUUUGUACCUUACAGUUUUACUGAAUUGAUCAGUUCUAAUAGUUUUCUUGUGAAGUCUUUAGGUUUUUCCAAAUAUAAGAUCAUAUCAUCUGCAAACAAGGAUAAUUUGACUUCUUUCUUUCCAGUUUGGAUGCCCUUUAUCUUUCCUGAUUGCUCUAGCUAGGACUUCCAGUACUAUGUUGAAUAACAGUAGUGAAAGUGAGAAUCCUUGUCAUGUUCCAGAUUUUAGAGGAAAGAGGAAGCCUUUAUUUUGGAGCACAGUGUGUGACAGUGGAAAGAGCACAGAAAUUGGAGUCACACAUCCUGCCCACAUCCUGCCUCAUUGGCUUUGUGACUUUAGAAAUGUUAUUGAACUUUCCUGGAUCUUGGUAGCCUCACCUUUAAAAUGGGUAUAAUAAUCCCUGUUCGAAUGGCUGUAGUGACUUUGAAACAUGCCAACUUGGCUAAGCCACAAUGCGUUUCCCCAGAAUUAUUGUUCCUGUAUGUUUCCAGUUAAGAUGGGCCUUGAAGGACAUUUUGCACGGAUUUGGAGAGUGGAAAUGGAGUAGCAGCUGUGUUGCUGUUACUAUUGAAAGGUGGGUAUGUUAUCUAUAUAACAAACCUGCACAUGUACCUGUGAACCUAAAAUAAAAGUUAAAAACAAAAAAAAGACAAUUAAAAAUAAUAAUUUUUUAUUAUAUGCUAUUUUACAUUUGAUAUGGGUCUAUAUUUACACAAAUACUCCC
rnacentral:lncRNA from 10 species